rnacentral:rRNA from 1 species
UGGGGAAUUUUGCACAAUGGGGGAAACCCUGAUGCAGCGACGCCGCGUGAUUUAGAAGGCCUUCGGGUUGUAAAAAUCUUUUGUAUGGGAAGAAAAUGACAGUACCAUACGAAUAAGGACCGGCUAAUUACGUGCCAGCAGCCGCGGUAAUACGUAAGGUCCGAGCGUUGUCCGGAAUCAUUGGGCGUAAAGGGUACGUAGGCGGAUAAGCAAGUUAGAAGUGAAAUCCUAUAGCUCAACUAUAGUAAGCUUUUAAAACUGCUCAUCUUGAGGUAUGGAAGGGAAAGUGGAAUUCCUAGUGUAGCGGUGAAAUGCGCAGAUAUUAGGGGGAAUACCGGUGGCGAAGGCGACUUUCUGGCCAUAUACUGACGCUGAGGUACGAAAGCGUGGGUAGCAAACAGG